rnacentral:lncRNA from 1 species
AUCUGCCAAAAAAGCUGUUUAAAAGAAGAAAACUGUUUGGUAGGUAAAUAAACAGAAUUCACAUUUUUAUACCAAAAUUUGAGCCGUCACUCACCGUACACCAUCAUCAUUUUUGUAUAAGUAGAUGUUCUUUGGACAACUGAAUGACCAUGAACCUAAAAGUAUUUCAUGUAUUUAAUUGCAAACAUUGUUUUGUCUUUGUUGCUGUUGUGUCAUUUUUCCUUUCACAUAUUUUCCUAUAAAAGGAACGCGGUGGUGAUGUCAGGAGGAUUGGUUAUCCACAGGAACUCCACACACUUGACCAUCAGUUGAUCAAAAGGAAGAAGAGGUUCAAUGAACGCAAAGGUGUCCCAAAGACUCACUGGAUUUAUCUGUACAGUGAACUUGAGAUGACCACCAACACUGGCAUACACAUUCACAGUGUGUAUCAGUGUUGUUGUAGUGUGAAGAUGUGGUUCAAGGGUCAAUAUUUACCAAUAAACUUAAUAAGUUUUAAUGAAAGAAUCAUGUUGUCAUAAAACCUUGAGCCAGAGAUAUUUGUAAGGAGAAAGGAUUUCUUCAUGUUUUGAGGAAGUGCUGAAGACUGAAGUGACACAACUUCAACUUUAUGAAUGACACUGAUUGAUUUUAUUAUUUUGAUAUGAUGUUGCAUUUAUUAAUGAUGGCUGCUGCUCCUGUCUCUUCCAUCAGGUGAAGAAUGCUGCUCAUGCUCGUCCGGCAGGUCCUGCUUCUCCGGUCGCUUCUCCAGCCGCUCCUGCUCCUCCUUCAGUUCCUGUUGCUCCUGCAUGAACAGGAAAAACGCGUGGGAGCAGCGCCCUCUCGCAUAUGCGCGAAAGGGCGCUGCUCCCACAUAAAAUCCGGGCGCACGAGAUUACCCACUCUGAGCCCUUCCUGCACGCGUGCAAGAGCGCGCCACGCCCACGCCACCACGCAAUCCAGUCCACCUCUCAAACACGCACCAGAUUACACCACUCCGAGCUCCUCGUGCACGCGCGAGAGAGUGCGCCACAACCAGCCACCACUCAAUCCGGGCCACCUCUCACACGCGCACUGAGGAAAGGUCCAUAACCUGGUCGGGAGGGGGAUUCAGGAGGUUCAACGCUGGAACGUUGAACCUCACACUCUGAGCUACUCCUGCACGCGCGCAAGAGGGUGCCACACCCAGCCCACCACUCAAUCCGGGCCACCUCUUGCACGCGCACAAGAUUACGCCACUCGGAGCUCGUCCAGCAAAUGGGCGAGAGGGGGCCACACCCAGCCCACUCCUCAAUCCGGGCCACCUCUCACAAACCCACCGAGGAACGAUCCAUAACCUGGUCCGGGAGGGGGGGAGGAGGUUCAACGUUCCAGCGUUGAACCUCACACUCCGAGCUCCUCCUGCACGCGCGCAAGAGAGUGCCACAAUGGCCCAUCUCUCGCACACGCAACAAGAUUACGCCACUCCGAGCCCCUCCUACACGCGCGCGAGAGGGGGCCACACCCAGCCCACCACUCAAUCCGGGCCACCUCUCGCACGCGCAUCAGAUUACACCACUCCGAGCUGCUCCUGCACGCGCACAGGAUUACACCACUCCCACGCCACAAAAACACUCCGGUCCCCUCCACACUGAGUUUAGAAAAGUUUAACAUUAACGUGGACACUGCAUGUCCCCUUAAUAUUUCCACUUUAGCAAAUGUCACUUGCUGAGCGGUCCUUACUGCACUCUUCAAAAGGUUUCAAUCUAUUAAUAAUAUGACAACAUUCAUUUGAACAAAUGACAUUCUAAUUAAAAUAAUCGACCUGGUUUAUGGCACAAAUCUCACUUUUUUUUUAUGAAAUAAAAUUUAAACACACACACACACACACACACACAUACACGCACACACACACACACGCACGCACGCAUAGUUUCUGUAGCCAAACAACAAAAGAUAAAAUAUCCUAAGAAACAUUUUCAUUCCUCUUUGUUAGAUUUUAGCAGUUACUCAGAGUCUAGCAGUAGGCAGGAAAAUGAAAACAAACGUGGUUUGUGUAAGAACAGGCUGUAAGAUAGUACUUGCUUUGUCAUAUCACACUAAAUGGAUUACAGAAUGUGAGCACCCAUGUACAAAUGCCUCUAUCUACUAAGCCAAACUUAUUUACUUCAGUAAAAUUAUUAAUAAUCCAGUAAGAUAAUACACGCAGCAAAGACUUGCUGAAGUAGUAUAUAUACUAGUAUAUAUACUACUUCAGCAAGUUGUCUUUUGUAACCGUUGUGUAAAAACCUGUACAAGUCUCUACUGUGUUUAGAAAAGUUUAACAUUGACGUGGACACUACAUGUCCCCUUAAAAUUUCCACUUUAGCAAAUGUCACUUGCCAAGCGGUCCUUACCUUAGGGAAUAAUCUUUUUUCCUUUCUUUCCUCUCCUCUCUUUUCUCCUCUGUAAUCCACAGCAAAGUGUAUGUAAAUCCUGCAAGCACUUUUCAAAAUGUUUCAUUCUAUUAAUGUUGCGAUGACAACAUUCAUUUGAACAAAAACCAUUCUAAAGGCGUCUGACACAUUUGCUAAGCUCCACCCCCGGUUGAUGUUGAGAAGAAAUAAUCAACCUGGUUUCUAGAUUUCAAAAUGUCAUGUUUUUGUCAUCUAAAGCUAAAGCCUACUAUUGUCACA